rnacentral:lncRNA from 1 species
AAAGGGUUUAGGAAUCAGAAGGAGCCUCCAGGCAGUGAGUGCUGUCUGAGCAGAGAAGGGCCUGAGAGAGCGGGGCAGUCUUGUCACAGGUGAGAAGGCUCUGCCUGCCCCCCCACACCCCAGAAACAGAGCCCACCUCAUCCCAGCACACGGGCCCAAGCACUGGUCUCACCCCCACCCCUCAGACUCCGAGCCGGGCCAGAGCACAGCCAGGAGAAUCUGGUUAGCUCCUCGGGGAAACUGAGGCUCACAGAAGGGUGGAAACACCCGGUCACAACGGUCACCACCACAAUCCAGGGUCCGGCCGAGGUCUCCCACUCCCCGUGGCUGGGCCCGGAGGACAGGCCACCAUCACCGUGUGCCCAGCCACAACAAGCCACAGGAGCUGAGGCCGGAGCUGAAAACCCUUCCCGCCUGACUGGGGACAAGAACAAGUACAAAGAAGGUCCCUCACCAG